CAGUAGCCGCGGUAAUACGGAGGGUGCAAGCGUUAAUCGGAAUUACUGGGCGUAAAGCGCACGCAGGCGGUUUGUUAAGUCAGAUGUGAAAUCCCCGGGCUCAACCUGGGAAUGGCGCUUGUGACUGCAAAGCUAGAGUGCGGCAGAGGGGGAUGGAAUUCCGCGUGUAGCAGUGAAAUGCGUAGAUAUGCGGAGGAACACCGAUGGCGAAGGCAAUCCCCUGGGCCUGCACUGACGCUCAUGCACGAAAGCGUGGGGAGCAAACAGGAUUAGAUACCCGGGUAGUCCCUGUCUCUUAUAC
rnacentral:rRNA from 1 species